GACCUCAAAUCAGGUAAGAAUACCCGCUGAACUUAAGCAUAUCAAUAAGCGGAGGAAAAGAAAAUAACAAUGAUUCCCUCAGUAACGGCGAGCGAAGAGGGAUAAGCUCAAAUUUUAAAUCUGCUGGGUUUCACCUAACAGAGUUGUAUUUUGAAGAAACGUUUUCUGCGUCCAGGUUAGCCUAAGUCCUUUGGGAUAAGGUAUCAUGGAGGGUGAGAAUCCCGUUCAUGGUUAAUCUUAAGGAUGCUCUACGAUACGUUUUCCAAGAGUCGAGUUGUUUGGGAUUGCAGCUCAAAAUGGGAGGUAAAUUUCUCCUAAGGCUAAAUAUUGGCGAGAGACCGAUAGCGAACAAGUACCGUGAGGGAAAGAUGAAAAGAACUUUGAAAAGAGAGUUAAACAGUACGUGAAAUUGUUGAAAGGGAAACGAUUGAAGUCAGUCAUACCAACGGGAAAUCAACCUUUUGAGCUUUGUCUCGUGGGUUCGAAGAGUUUAAACGCCUUCGGGUUUGCGAGAUUGGGAUCUUCUGGUGUACUUUCUCGUACGGUUAGUCAACAUCGGUUUUGAAUGUCAUAAAAUGACUGGAGGAAUGUAGCUUCGAUCUCGUAUCGAAGUGUUAUAGCCUUUGGUAGAUGUGAUGUUUGAGACCGAGGAUUGCAACGGAUACCCUUUAAGGGCUAUUCGUCUGAUCUCUGAUACGUUGCCUUGACGUUGAAAGCUUGCUUAUGAUGUUAGGGUAUUACGGUCAAAAGGUUAGAACGGAUUAAAUUCGUUAAGGAUGUUGACGUAAUGACUUUAAACGACCCGUCUUGAAACACGGACCAAGGAGUCUAACAUAUAUGCGAGUGUUUGGGUGGUUAAACCCUUGCGCGUAAUGAAAGUGAUUUUGGUGAGAUCCGGGAAAAAUUUUUCGGAGCAUCAUCGACCGAUCAGGAUAUUU
rnacentral:rRNA from 2 species